GUGCUCGCUUUGACAGCACAUAUACUAAAAUUGGAAUGAUACAGAGAAGAUUAGCAUGGCAAGGAUGACAUGCAAAUUUGUGAAGCGUUCCAUAUUUUU
ensembl:snRNA U6 U6 spliceosomal RNA